rnacentral:lncRNA from 1 species
AAGUUUUGGGCUGCAUCACUUCCGCAAUAUAUUGAAGGCCAGACUAGAUCAAUAUUCAAAGUACCACAAGUCUUUUCCUUGUCGAGAAGACUUUAUUGCUUGAGAGAUAACGAAGAAUCCUUUUGCUUUAAGAACGACAUCUUCAAAGGACUCCAAAUAUGCAUUCAAGCUUCAUGCUUUUCAUUUUUUUUAGAGAGUCGUUCUCAGUUUAGACUCAUGCG